AGAGUUUGAUCAUGGCUCAGGACGAACGCUGGCGGUGUGCUUAACACAUGCAAGUGGAGCGACGAACCAGGGCUUGCCCUGGGGCAGAGCCGCGAACGGGUGAGUAACACGUGGGUAACCUACCCCGAUGACCGGGACAACUCGAGGAAACUCGAGCUAAUACCGGAUGUGCUCGCCCCUCAUGAGAGGGGUGAGCAAAGGAAGCUUCGGCCUCCGCAUUGGGACGGGCCCGUGGCCCAUUAGCUAGUUGGUGGGGUAAUGGCCUACCAAGGCUGCGAUGGGUAGCUGGUCUGAGAGGACGAUCAGCCACACUGGGACUGAGACACGGCCCAGACUCCUACGGGAGGCAGCAGUGGGGAAUCUUGCGCAAUGCGCGAAAGCGUGACGCAGCAACACCGCGUGGGGGAAGACGGCCUUCGGGUUGUAAACCCCUUUCAGGAGGGACGAAGGCCGGCCGGUGAAUAGCCGUGCCGGUUGACGGUACCUCCAGAAGAAGCCCCGGCUAACUACGUGCCAGCAGCCGCGGUAAUACGUAGGGGGCAAGCGUUGUCCGGAAUCAUUGGGCGUAAAGCGCGCGUAGGCGGCCCGAUAAGUCCGCCGUAAAAGUCAACGGCUCAACCGUUGAAAGUCGGUGGAUACUGUCGGGCUAGAGUCCGGAAGAGGCAAGUGGAAUUCCUGGUGUAGCGGUGGAAUGCGCAGAUAUCAGGAGGAACACCUAUAGCGAAGGCAGCUUGCUGGGACGGUACUGACGCUAAGGCGCGAAAGCGUGGGGAGCGAACAGGAUUAGAUACCCUGGUAGUCCACGCCGUAAACGAUGAGAACUAGGUGUGGGAGGUGUCGACUCCUCCCGCGCCGUCGCUAACGCAUUAAGUUCUCCGCCUGGGGAGUACGGCCGCAAGGCUAAAACUCAAAGGAAUUGACGG
rnacentral:rRNA from 1 species